rnacentral:rRNA from 1 species
AGAGCGAACGCUGGCGGCAGGCCUAACACAUGCAAGUCGAGCGCCCGUAGCAAUACGGGAGCGGCAGACGGGAUAGUAACACGUGGGAACGCGCCCUUCGGUUCGGAAUAACUCAGGGAAACUUGAGCUAAUACCGGAUACGCCCUUACGGGGAAAGAUUUAUUGCCGAAGGAACGGCCCGCGUCCGAUUAGCUAGUUGGUGAGGUAAUGGCUCACCAAGGCGACGAUCGGUAGCUGGUCUGAGAGGAUGACCAGCAUCACUGGGACUGAGACACGGCCCAGACUCCUACGGGAGGCAGCAGUGGGGAAUAUGGACAAUGGGCGCAAGCCUGAUCCAGCCAUGCCGCGUGGAUGAUGAGGGCCUUAGGGUUGUAAAGUCCGUUUUAACGGGGAAGAUAAUGACGGUACCCGUAGAAUAAGCCCCGGCUAACUUCGUGCCAGCAGCCGC